CCUGGGGGAGGGGGUGUAGGGGGCGGAGGGGGAGGGUGAACGAUGUUUCUUUUUUUUCGUUUAGUUUAAAAAUGUUUCGUGCUGUGAUUUGCUAUGUAGUGUUGAGCCUUCAUAAUGUAUCGUCUUUGUAUUUUUUUUUAUGGGUGGCGUGUUUUACCAUUUCUUGAAGGGCGCGGUGGAAUUUUCUGACGUUACUGAACCUAGAAAUAAAUAAUAUGUUCUCUGACGUUCCUAACAAUAAGCUUUGAUAUUGUCGAUAGAGGUUUGUUUUGAUCAAACGUUUAUUAGGGACCAGCCCUGACCAGGAGUUACGUUAUUAGCAAUGAUGUCCCUCGAUCUUGCUCUUGCUCUUGCUGUACAUGUGACCCGUUGGAGUGAAUGAACAGCAGAGGGAGGUGUGGAAGCAAGAGGUUGAAAGCAGGAGGGAAUUUCUGCUGGAUUUCUCGACCCAUUUCCUGGCUUCUCUCUUCCGCCCGAUUUCGCCACGAGACUCCCUGACUGACAAUUUUGACAUCGCCCUGCCAAAGAAGACAAGGGGAAGGAAGAAGCAGCAGCCAUCAGAGGAGGAGGAGGAGGAGGAGGAGGGAGGAAGAAGAGCCAGGUUUCGCUCCUCCACUGGAUCUCCUCAAAGGACCGACCGAGAGAGUGACGUCCGGCAAAUCGCUCAGCAGUGCUUUCGAGGGCUCUCCCAGGCGCUGCUCAAGAACCAGGACCGGGCAGGCAAGGUGAACGACCCUUCCAUCUUCCCUGACCUCUGCACGUCACACCGCAAGAACUUAAUGCACAUGUUGCGGAACCACCAGAAGAGUGUGCGGCGUCCCGCAGGCAGGCAGGCAGGCAGGCAGGCAGACCGAGACGCCAGCCAUUCAAUUCUGCCGAGGGAAGGAAGUCGUGUUAGUCAACUCUGAUGACUUGUACUUUUCUCUGCAAGGGACUGUUCUGUAAGCCAGUCACAGAAGAUGUGAACUGUAUCUGUACUAUGAAGUCUUAUAAAAAAAGUUAAGGCCCCAAACCCAUUUAGCUAAUAUCCCCGGACACUUUUUUAGGUAUAAUUGACUGAGGUACAUUUUUCGGGCUACUUUUCAAGAUGUUUUUGAGCUGUAUGCUGAUAUAUCUAGUUGCUUUGAUCUUUUUUAAAAGCUAAUUCUAUAUAUAUUGAAGGGAGGAACUAAUUUUCAUACAGAAAAAAAACAUAAUAUAAAAAGAAUUAUAUAUAUGAAUUGGAAGCAAGAUAUAAGAGAAGACAACGAAGGGAACUAACAAGAGGAGAGAUUGUAUACAUAAAGAGCUCAAAAGUCAUUGAAAAAGCAAUGGAAAUUAAGAGACAAUAAGAACAUAUGAAAUAAAAGACGUGGAAACAAGAAGAAAAUAAGACAGACAUGAGAUUAUUACUAUGACAUAAAUACCUUAGACAAAGAGAAAGCAGAUAACAACAUAUCACAGACUAAAAUAUUUGAGGCGUACGGCAGAGAAGUGAGGUGACAUUAGGAAUGGCGACCCUUGUGUAAAUUGUACGCAAUUAGUAUCAUAACAUAGCAAUUUAACUCUAAUUUGCACUGGGAAAGACAGACAGACUCUACCCCUCCAAGGAUGAACGAGGGACGAAUCAAAAUGGAAGCUCAACUUUUAUGGGGCAGACGGAGGGUCCCUUUCCCUUGUAACGUACAUCAUGACGAGCAAUAUGGCAAUAAUUAUGUUCUAGUUAGCAAGGGGGGAAAGGAAGAACAAGAUAUAGUUACUUGCAAGGGAAAAUAAACCUUGCAUAGGAUGAGCGGAGGGCUGGAAGUCGCGUAAUCUGUUCUCAGUGUGUGAACGUACUCUAGUAUACGUAAGAAUAGGUCAUCACCGUGCCUUAGGAUUUCUCUGCCGUAAGCCUCGUUUAUACGUUAAGAGAUGAGGAGGGAGGGAAACAAGCAAAUAAUGGAACUCUAUAUAUACGAUACAGUGAAAAGGAUUUACCGAGAAGGAUGUACGUAUGAGAGGAGGAAAGUGAGGAGGAGAAGAGAGAGAUUACGGUAAGUAAAGGGAAGUAAAACAGAUGAUGAUAUAUAUAUAUAAAUAAAACUAAAUAAAGAAGGAAUGAUUAGAACUGAGAGAGAAAGGUACAUCACAGAGGAGGAAAGUCUGGAAUUUGAGGAAGACAAGGAGGAAGGAGCGCCAGCCAUGGAGUCUACCAGCGUCAAGGAGCCGAUUCAAGGUACGUCUCAAACUUCCCUUCCUAAGAUCUAUGAGGCAGACCCUUCUGCCCCUCACGUCAGCUACUUGCAAAGGUCAAUAAGGAGAUCAAUCAAGUUCUCACGAGUCUUGUUUUAAGAUUCAUGGUAAGGAGAAAGUUAAAACUACCACCUGGGUCAUCAAACUGCCCCUGGAAAUUCUCACAACUCCUACAAAAGCCUGUCAAAUGUGUGCGCUUGGAACGAUAUUUUUUAAGAAUGUGACUGUCAGAUGCCAAAAAGGAGAUCAAUCGGGUUCUAAUGGAGUGGUUUUGAAGGUUCAUGGUACAUAGGAAGGGUUAAUCUAUCACCAGGGUCAUAAAACUGCCCCUGGAAAUGCCCAAAACUCCUACGGAAGCCUUAAAUACAAGUCUCUCGGGAUGGCUGUUUCAAGAAUGUGAGCCUCGGACAUCUCCGCUCCUCACAUCAGCUACUUCCAAAGGCCGAACUCUUGUCACACCCACUUGCCGACACCUUGGGCCGCAAGAGUCACCAUCCAUAACUGAUGACUGCGUAUUUUGAGUAAUUAUCAAACCCAAAAGUCACACCCACGUGUGCACCAAAUAACUUUUUUUCAUAUUGGUUACUUUAUUCAAUUAGCGUGAAUUUAGUUAGCGCGACCGCGUUCAUCCACCUAAUUCUCACGCUAAAUGGGGCUCUACUGUACUAACAUAGCUCAUAGUAGUAUUCCCACUUUUAAUUAACAUCUUGUACAGCAGUGUUUCUCUCUCCCUGUGAACUGUUUCCCUGCACAUGAAUGCCUCGGCUGUGACGGGUCUUCAUCAACAGUGCUGCCAGUGAGUGGCCUCACCUGAACACGAGUCAUCGCUCCACACAGCAGGUGACCUGACGAGCCUGGCCUGACAAGCACCUGACAGCUGCCCACCACCUUAACAAUGAGGGAAAUGACACUUGAGCGGCUUGACAGUUCAGGGUCAAGGCCGCCUCCACCCCCAUUCCUAUUCAAAUACACUGGAAUACCAUAUUUGGGUGUGUUUGUAUUGGUAUAACUAUUGAUAGAAAUCAAAGCAUUCUCAUUGUGAUAGGAAUACAAGGGAAAAGUAUUUGUAUUGUGCAAAUAAUUAUCUGAGGAACACUUCAAAAUCUAUCAUCUGUAAUAGCAGGCGUUACAGGUCCGCACAGCCUCCCGGGGGACUUGUUAGCACUGUGUUGAGUACAGGGUUAUGAGCUCUUGUACAUCUUUACAACACUGCUGCUGUUAUGCCAAGAAGGUGUAUUCAUUCAUAUCAAAACAGCCUUCUUGUUAGCACUGUGUUGAGUACAGGGUUAUGAGCUACACUACCUUGUACAUCUUUAGAACACUGCUGUUAUGCCAAGAAGGUGUAUUCAUUCAUAUCAAAACAGCCUUCUUGUUAGCACUGUGUUGAGUACAGGGUUAUGAGCUACACUACCUUGUACAUCUUUAGAACACUGCUGUUAUGCCAAGAAGGUGUAUUCAUUCAUAUCAAAACAGUAUUUCUAUUCACUGUAAUUUGAAGUACUGUAUUGGUAUUGUAAUCCACAACACUUGUAUUCCCUCCCUGAUCUUAGAUAACUUUACAACACUGCUAAACCCAAUUAUGACAAGAAGGUAUUU